rnacentral:tRNA from 1 species
AUUGAUUUGGCAGAUUAGUGCAUUAAUUUUAGAAUUUAAUAAGGUAUUAUUAUACAAUCAAUU